UGCCAGCCGCCGCGGUAAGACGGAGGGGGCUAGUGUUAUUCGGAAUGACUGGGCGUAAAGGGCGCGUAGGCGGUGAAUUAAGUUGAAAGUGAAAUCCCAGAGCUCAACUCUGGAACUAUUUUCAAAACUGGUUCACUAGAGUUCGAUAGAGGAUAGUGGAAUUUCUAGUGUAGAAAUAAAAUUCUUAAAUAUUAGAAGGAACUCCAGUGGCGAAGGCGACUAUCUGGAUCGAUACUGACGCUGAGGCGCGAAAGCAUGGGGAGCAAACAGGAUUAGAUA
rnacentral:rRNA from 1 species